CAGCCACCUUUAAAAGUUUAUCAAAGUCGCAAAAGAAUGGGCUCCAAGGCCCAAAAUUUAAUUUGGCACUCUUUGAAUGAUAAUGAGCUUACUUGGGAUCUUAUAUAAUUCAAUAUGGGUUCAGCCUAGAUGUACUUUCCAAAAAUCAAAUCAUGGGCCUUGUGAAUGGUUAUAAGUUACUAUUCUCAGUCACUGAUAUUAUCAUUUUCAAGAGUCUUUAAUGUGGUCUAGUAGUCAGUCCAAGUUUUUGUUAUUUUCAAGUUAUGUUACUACGAUGUGACUAGUUCCAAGGAUAUAAAUGAUGGAAUGUCAAACAACUUCGUCAUACAAUGUGAAUAUGAGGCAUUAUGUAAAAUCCCAAAAUUAUUCCCAAAAUACCUUAAUUUAUGACCACCUUUUUGUCAAAAAAAAAAAAAAAAAAAAGAAAGAAAGAAAGAAAGAAAGAAAGAAAAAGGAAAAUUAAUGUGAACUUAUUCACUAUAUUUAAAUACUUCUUGAGUUAUUCUGUGUACCCCAAAUCUUAGGAAUAAUUCCCUAAGACCCCAAGUGUUUUUGAAUCAUUUUGGAAUGACAACGUAUAUACUUAGCUUGUUAGGA
rnacentral:lncRNA from 1 species